GUUCUCUCCCGCGCUCAGCGCUGCACUGGGCGGCCGCUGCACUGUCCCUCCCCCAGAUAGUCCCUCGCUCUCUCUCCGCACCGCAUGCCUGGCACCCACCCCCUCCACAGUGGGCGGCGACCCAGCGGCUCGGAUCGGAUUCGCGCAGCCAGCACUGCAGUGAGAGAGAGUGAGUGAGCCAGGUAGGGGCAGAGAGCUGCGAGUGCGAGCGCGCCCCCCCCCAGAUGUUGCGCCCGGUGCGGCCGGCCCCCCUUGCACCCCCCACGCUACGCCACUGCCUUCCAGUGAGCGCUCAGGGCUGAUUUCCUUCAGAAUGUAGAGGUUUGAUCUUCUUGCAGUCCAUGGGAUUCUCAAGAGUCUCCUCCAGCACCAGAAUUCAAAAGCAUCCAUUCUUCGGCGAUCAGCCUUCUUUAUGGUCCAGCUCUCACUUCCAUACAUCACUACUGGGAAAACCAUGGCUUUAACUAUACAGAUAACAGUGAGCAAUUCUUUCUUCCAGGCUAGGGCUUGCUUCCUUGUUGCUUGUGCUGGCUGGGACGGAUGGGAGUCCGAAACGUCUGGAGGGUGCCACGUUGGCGAAAACCGACUUGUGCCGCUGAUGAAUCAGCCACAAGGACAUUCUCUUUCCUUUCACAACCUUACUGUUUUGUUUGCAAGAUUAAUUGUGGCAGGGCUCACGUUUGCACCCUGAGAAGGGAUUUCCUGCUUGGUUGCCCAACUUGCUAUUGACCUCAUUGGAUUCACAGGGAACAUCAUCAGAUUGGCAGCUGCCUCAGGUGACAAGGGAAGAGGAAGAGGAGGAGGAGAGCAGGUGGGAGCGAAACCUCCAUCAAGGCUCAGAUGCAGAAGGAAACCUUCCAUGCCAACGCUAGAUGGCAGUCUAGGGUUAUGCUUUGGAGACUUCACAGUACAUUUAAAGCAGUACCAAUCCAAUUUCAUCCGUCAUGCCUCCCCCCACAGAAUCCCGGGAAGUGUAAUUUCUUAUUUCUUUUUUUAAAAAAAUUGCAUUUAAUUUAUUUGUUAACAUUCUUAUAUUACAUCGGUAAAUGUUGUCAUAUUACAUUACAGACUUACUAUAAUAUCAUUUCCAACAUGUAUACAAAAAUUAUAUACAAAUUUUAUAUACCUAGAAAGAAAUUGAAACAAAAAGAAGGAACAAAGAGAAAAAACAAAAACAAAUCCCCCCCCAAAUCAUAUGCGUACCAACACACUAGACUUCCUGUCUUUCCCACUGUAUAUUCCUUUUUUUACAAAUGAAUGUACUCUUAUUAUUGUAUAUUUCCUUAUCCUUUUGUAUAUUAUCCUUAUAUAUUAUUCCUUAUAUAUUAUUGUAUAUUAUAAUAUACAUUCUUAUAUCAAUAUGUGCCCUUAGUCUUAUUUCUCAACUCAGUCUCACUCCAACGCAUAGCUGUCAACUUUUCCCUUUUUUAAAGGGAAAUUUCCUUAUUCCAAAUAGGAUUCCUCGCAAGAAAAGGGGAAAGUUGACAGCUGUGCUCCACCGUCAAUCAAAUGCUAGCACACAUAGCGAACCUUUACUGUAUAGGAAGGGUUAAGGAUGCUGAGAGUUGUUAGGAGACAGUUGCCAACAGAUAAAAACAUUGGCGGGAUUAUUGCAGUAACCUGCAGCUUCAGAAGAGUAUAUCUAUUUAAAGUCAGUGCUUAUUUCUGGGGGGGACACAGGGGGGUGCAUACCCCAAAGCAUUUUGUGAAUCUAUGUUUGGCCUCAUUGAGGGGCAGAAUUUCAAUAUGAGUAGGAAAAUGAGAGUACCCCUAAACCUUUUUUCUUAAGGAAAAAGCACUGGAAUUGCAUGAACACUGUUCCACAGCAUUUGAUAUUUUCAUUUACAUACAUUCAUUCGAAAUAAGAUGGGUUUAUGAAGCAAUUCUAUAUCCUCCCACCACACUGACAAAUAAUUCUAUGAAACAGUAGCCUAUAUCCGGAAUCACUGUUCAGUGUUGGACAUCAUAUUUGCUGAAUACACAAAGCUUCACAGCUUGUCUUUCAUUGCUUCAUUUAAAGAUUUUCAGAGACUUUGAGACAAAAGAUUUCAUUGCGGACUUGUUAUGGUUUGAAGGAAUUCUAUAAAAGAUUGUCUACUGUGUAUGUACAUGGUCAUUGUGUUGCCUAGACAUUGCUGACGUCAUCUUCCAUGUGACAGCCCUUCAGGUCUUUGAGGAUGACCAUCAUAUCACCUCUCCGUUUUCUCUUCUCCAGGCUAAACAGACUCAACUCCCUCAACUGCUACUCAUAAGUUUUGGCUACCAGAUUCUUGGUCAUCCUCUUCUGCACACCUUCCAGCUUGUCAACAUCCUUAAAUUGUGGUACCCAGAAUUGGACACAGUAUUCCAGGUGUGGUCUGACCAAGGCAGAAUAGAGUGGGACUAUGACUUCCCUUGAUCUGGACACUAGACUUCUGUUGAUGCAGCCUAGAAUAGCAUUAGCCUUUUUUGCUGCUGCAUCAGCCUGAUGUCUCACGUUCAGUUUGUGGUCUACUAAGAACUCUAAGACUCUUGACUUUACAUGCACCAGACCAAAACCAUGAUUACCCAACCACAAACUUCAUAGAAAAGUCUGUGAGAAGGAAAUAAUUAAAAUUAGCAUGCUGUCCUUAUGUUGACAACACCGGGGCUAUAAAUAACAAUUUGCAAAGUGCAUGCAUGACAGUGACACUCAACAGGAGUUUGGCCAACUCACCCAUUUGUACAUCAACGAAACUAACAAGAGCAGAGAUUCAUCACAUAGGUGGUGAACAGUUCACAAGGAACACAUGAGAAGGAUUGAUGCCCAGAUAAUCUGUCACUGCAGCUUUUGUCAAUCUAGUGCCCUCCAGAUGUUCUGAACUGCAACUCCCUUGGCAAGGGUCAAGAGACACGUGAAAUACAGCUCCCUUCUCAUAAUCCUCUGUAGCAUGGCAAAGGAUCCUUAAAGUUAAUUCAUCAAUUGCUUUUUGCAUGUCUCUCCAUCAUAUUUACAAACACAAGCAUGUUGUUGUUGUUGUUUAGUUGUUUAGUCGUGUCUGACUCUUUGUGACCCCCUGGACCAGAGCACGCCAGGCACUCCUGUCUUCUGCUGCCUCCCACAGUUUGGUCAAACUCAUGCUGGUAACUUUGAGAACACUAUCCAACCAUCUCGUCCUCUGUCGUCCCCUUCUCCUUAUGCCCUCCAUCUUUCCCAACAUCAGGGUCUUUUCUAGGGAGUCUUCUCUUCUCAUGAGUUGGCCAAAGUAUUGGAGCCUCAGCCUCAGGAUCUGUCCUUCCAGUGAGCACUCAGGGCUGAUUUCCUUCAGAAUGGAGAGGUUUGAUCUUCUUGCAGUCCAUGGGACUCUCAAGAGUCUCCUCCAGCACCACAAUUCAAAAGCAUCAAUUCUUUGGCAAUCGGCUUUCUUUAUGGUCCAGCUCUCACUUCCAUACAUCACUACUGGGAAAAAGCAAGUAAAAAUAGGACAGGAAACAACAGAUGAUAGGUUUGGAAACAAUACAAAAUGAAUACCUAAGACAGAGAAGUUUUUGCCCAGGUGGAAAAGCUUUCCAGAACAAAAAUGUAGGGAUUUAUAGGGACAGAACGACCUAAAUUGUGUAGAAAUUUAUUUAUUUAUGCUACUACAACAGCAAGAAUACUACUUGCCCAAAAGUGGAAAAAAGCAGAAGUCCCAGCAAAGGAAGAAUGGAUACAAAAACUUAUAGAAUAUGCAGAAAUGGCGAAACUUACCGGAAGAAUAAGAAAUCAAGAUAACAAACUUUUUAUAAAAGAAUGGAAAUGAUUUAUUGAAUAUUUACAGAUAAAUUGCAAACAGAUAAAAACCUUGGCAGGAUUAUUGUAAUAACCUGAAGUUUUGUAAUCCUGCCAGUGUUUUUAUUUGUUUGCAAUUUAUCUGUAAAUAUUCAAUUUAAAGUAGAUAAUUAAAUGAGCAAAUUAACUGAAUUUGGAUUUGCAGAAGAUAUUUUUUAAAAAAACAAUUUAAGGAACCGCAGAAAGAGGGGGAAGGAAGUCAAACUUUGAAAAGUGUUGUAAGAGAGUCAGUGUCAGAGAGGGGAAUAAAGGAAAAUGACCCUACCAAUAUCAGAAUUAUAGUGUUCUACCUAAAAAAAAAACCACGAGGAAAUGAACUGUGUCUCAGAGAAUGCAUCGUUUGAGAAGAAAUCAUUUUGAUGUGUCUUUUUACCUUUGCUAUCACUGAAAUGUGUAAGAAUGUAUGCUACUAUGCCUUUUUCAUGUAUCAUUGAAUGUAUCAUUUCACUGUGUCUUCUUUACCUUUUGCCAUCACUGAGAUAUAUAUGAGUGUAUCACUGAAAUGUACAAAGAUGUAUCCUUACUGAAAUGUAUCCAGGGAAAAGUACCUGUGCGUGCUACUGGAGCAGUAAUGUUCUGAGGAGGCAGGCAGGAAAUUGCCCGCAAGAGCCACAUACAAUGCUACAGUGCGUGCUCUUGACGGAUGCCUUGCCAGGACGGAGAAGGGACUGCAUAAGCGACAGUCAGUCCUUCUCCUCCUUUAGAGUAGCCUUGCAGACAAUCUCUCCAGCCGUGGGCAGGCUGCGCAAGAGCAAGGAAGCCAGGCUAGCAAGCGUGUAUCCAUCUCUCGCUGCCCGGGCUUCCUACAGCUUGCGACUUGACUUCCAGCCGCAGGAGGCUGAGCAAGGCUGAAGACGGUAGCCUGGGCAGUGAGGUUUGAUGGAUCUGCGCUGCUGUCUGAGCUCCUCUAAGCCUUGCUCCAGCCUCCAUGCUGGAGAGCGCAGAAGACUCGCAAGGCUAAAAAGCCAACUUUGAAAAAAUCUCUCAUCUCUACCUCUUUUUCUUUUCAGUCCUUUCUCCACCCCUUCUUUAACCUCUGGAUCAGUAUUUUUAUCUAGAUUAACGUUUUAGUUUGGGGGAAUAUUAUAAAAAGAAACUUUGCAGCUUUUAUUUUAGUAUACAAUAAAAACAGAUUAAACAAAACACAAAAGAAGGAAAUAGCACAGAAGAAGAAGAGAAAAUGGAAAGCCAUUUACCAGAGGUAGAUCUUAACCCUUGCCUCACCUGGGAGCUUCUCUGGGCAGGAAUUCCCUCGGCUUAAGUGGGGUGGGGGGAGAGUGGCAGGAUCCAAAAUGCAGCAGUCUGAUUGGUCCUAGAACAAUAGGAUUCAGAAUGCAGCAGUCUGAUUGGUCCACAGGAGCCACCCAAUCCAGCUCCAGGUGGAAGUGAAUCCACGACCUGAUUGGCCUACAGGUGAAUCCUGGAAUUAGCCAAUCAUGUGGGGCCCAUUGUGUAAAUAAUGUAUAUAAAGCAGAUAUUCUGAGGGAACUUCCAUUCCUCCUCACCACUAUGAGCUGAAUAAAGAGCAUGAAAUCCACUCUCGACUCCGAGUAUAUUUCAGAAACCUUUGGUUGCCUCCAGACAGCCUUUUUCUUUUUGCAGAAGGGAAAAUUCAAGUGUGUUCUGGAAACCGAGGGUUGCACAAUUAGAUUUGCUGGCUCUGCAACCGUAUAAUAACAUUUGUUGCUACAAUUAAAGUGGAGAAACGCUCUCUGCUGCCUGAACACAAUAAAUCCACUUUGGCCUUUGUGCGGUUCAGACAAUGUGCCAUGUAGCAUGGAAUGAAUGAAUGAUUUUAGGGGGCAGGUGUGCAAACACCCCACAAGCAGAGCAGGAUGAAAACGGAGAAAUCUGAGGGUUCCCUUGGACAAAAAACAAGGACACCAGGCAGGAAUACCAGAGCCAAACAGCAGCCAGUGGGCUUGGUCUUUAUUGAAGACUGUCGCGACAGGACUCCCACCUGCCUCAAGGUGGAACAAGAUGGAAGCCCCAAACAAAAGAGCCCCCAAACUUUUAUUAGCUGCUAAUCCCCAUGUUACACCCCCCCCAAACUACAUCACUAAUACGUCAUGGUUACAUCAUGAAAGGGGAGGUCUGGUGGCAGUAAUCUGAGCAUCCUGGACCCUGCCCCCUGGUUCUCCUUGCCCUCCACCAAACACCCAUCAAGUGUAACAAAAAAGAUAUUUACAUUUCCCUAUUUCCCAGCCAAGAUAAUCACACCCUUUUGUCUUCAUCUGGGUUUGUUAUUUCUGGAAUGGCUACCUGUCUGGCACUCAGGUAUCAGGAUGCCAGGGAUUAUCACUCAGGCAGAGGGGCUGCUGAGCAGCUGAACUCACAUGUCUAUAUGAAUUUCUGAAGUUUUCCCAGUGAUCCAGUACAUAGAGACAUUUAUCAGUGAAUUCUUACAUUUGGUAUUGUGCAGCAGAGGCCCUUUGAAUAGAUAGGAAGAAACUGCGAUGAAGUGUUUUGUGGGGACAAGCCACAAAAGCGAUUGUGCUGAUUUUGGUAGUGGGCUGCAUGUGCAUGAUAUCUGCUGGAGGGGCAACCCCCCCCCCCCAACCUAUACAUAAGUUCCUGUAACAGAAUGCAGGAUAAUGCUCGUUUUCGUAUCGCCACCCCCACAUCCCCAGAAAUAAAAAUUGGGGCAAAUGCUGGUUAAAGACCAGGCGCGGUCUGAGCCCUGCGUCGUCGUCAUCAUCAUCAUCAUUAUCAUCAUAAUUUAUUAUUUGUACCCCGCCCAUCUGGCUGGGUUUCGCCAGCCACUCUGGGGGGCUUCCACAGAGACCAAAAAUACACUAAAAUGUCACACAUUAAAAGCUUCCCUAAAGAGGGAAGGAUCAGGACCAAAACUUCCCCUGUGUUGCUGAGUCUGCCAUGUCUUUUUUAUUAUUAUUAUUGACUUAAGAAAAUUAUACUGACAGCAAAACGAAGAAGCCUAAAUAACAACAACAACAACAACAAAUUUAUUAUUUAUACCCCGCCCAUCUGGCUGGGCUUCCCCAGCCACUCUGGGCGGCUUCCAACAAAAUAUUAAAAUACUGUAAUACAUCAAACAUUAAAAGCUUCCCUAAACAGGGCUGCCUUCAGAUCUCUUCUAAAAGUCUGGUAGUUGUUCUUCUCUUUGACAUCUGGUGGGAGGGUGUUCCACAGGCCGGGUGCCACCACCGAGAAGGCCCUCUGCCUGGUUCCCUGUAGCUUUGCUUCUUGCAAUGAGGGAACCGCCAGAAGGCCCUCGGCGCUGGACCUCAGCGUCCGGGCAGAAUGAUGGGGGUGGAGACGCUCCUUCAGGUAUAUUGGGCCGAGGCCGUUUAGGGCUUUAAAGGUCAACACCAACACUUUGAAUUGUGCUCGGAAACGUCGUGAGAAGGAAGGCUGAAUCGAGGGUCACCCAGGCUAGAGAAUCUCUCCCACCCUGGAGAGCUGAGCUGUGGGGCCUCUGCCUUCAGCGCAGAGGCCGGCCUGAGACAGAUGGAGUGGUUUACACCCGGGGAAGGGGGGGCAGAGAUGAGUUGAAAGACGAUGACACCAGAGACACGUUUGAUGUCUCCAGUUUCUCAGUUCCAGCCUGAUGAAAAGGAAAAGUCUGGGAAAGGGAGGGGUGGACACCAACACACACAUCGCCUUUUGAAGUGCAGCCCGGUAAUUGCCACCACCACCAGCCUCUUUAAACCUUUUCUGCCAGGUGCGGAGACCUCCGUCUCUCUCCAUCUCUGAUAUCGGCAGCGCCCAAAGGGAUGAAAGGUUCCUUCGCCCCGCAAGGCCAGUUUCUGCAGAAUCAAGGCAGGUGGGAGGAAGGAAGGUUUUUCUUUCGGGGUGAAGGGCGGGAGGAGAGAUGGAGGAAGAUGAAAGCUUCCCUCCGCCCAGACCUGAACUGGCCUUGACCUUGGAUGAAGCCGUGUGAAGUCGGGAAGAUUCUGGAUUGGAAAUCGAGGUGAGUUCGGUUCAUCUCCUGUACUGAAAAAAAAAUAUAUUAUCUGGGCAGCAUCAGUGGAAAAAUACAGCAACAUUAACACUAGAUCAUAGGUAAAGGUAAAGGGACCCCUGACCGUUAGGUCCAGUUAUGGCCGACUCUGGGGUUGCGGCGCUCAUCUCACUUUGUUGGCCGAGGGAGCCGGCGUACAGCUUCCGGGUCAUGUGGCCAGCAUGACUAAGCCGCUUCUGGCGAACCAGAGCAGCACACGGAAACGCCAUUUACCUUCCCGCCGGAGCGGUACCUAUUUAUCUACUUGCACUUGGACGUGCUUUCGAACUGCUAGGUUGGCAGGAGCAGGGACUGAGCAACAGGAGCUCACCCUGUCGCGGGGAUUCGAACCGCCGACCUUCUGAUCGGCAAGUCCUAGGCUCUGUGGUUUAACCCACAGCGCCACCCGCGUCCCUUACACUAGAUCAUAGCAGCAUCUAAAACAACACAAAGCCAGUGUUUAGAGAUUAGGGCCCCUUUAGAUGGCCUGUGUGGUGCAACCACAUUUAGACUCCUGUGUGGACGGUUCUGGUCGCCUCAUCUCCAAAGGGAUAUUCUAGAGUUGGAAAAGGUGCAGAGAAAGGUAACCAAAAUUAUCAAGGGGGUGGAGUGAGUCCCCUUUCGAGAAAGGAUACAGCGCUGGGGACUUUUUAGUUCAGAGUAAAAAUGAGUAGUAAUAAAUAUUCUGUUGGGUGGCUUCCAACAGAAUAUUAAAAUACAAUAGUCUAUUAAACAUUAAAUUCUUCCCUAAAGAGGGAUGCCUUCAGAUGUCUUCUAAAAGUCUAGUAGUUGUUCUUCUCUUUGACAUCUAGUGGGAGGGCGUUCCACAGGGCGGGGGCCACUACCGAGAAGGCCCUCUGCCUGGUUCCCUGUAACUUGGCUUCUCGCAGGGAGGAAACCACCAGAAGGCCCUCGGCGCUGGACCUCAGUGUCCGGGUAGAACAAUGGGGGUGCAGACGCUCCUACCUAUAUGGCUUUAAAAGAAGAUUAGCCGACUGGCACCAAUUGGCCGGCCAAUUGGUGCCAAAGAAGGAUAGAAUUUUUUUAUGUACGCAACAACAGCAGCAAGAAUACUCAUCGCGAAGUAUUGGAAGACACAAGAUUUGCCCACCCAGGAAGAAUGGCAGAUGAAGUUGAUGGACUACAGGGAACUGGCGGAAAUGACUGGCAGAAUCCGAGACCAGGGAGAGGAGUCGGUGGAAGAAGAUUGGAAAAAGUUUAAAGACUAUCUACGGAAAUAUUGUAAAAUUAAUGAAUGUUAGAAAAAUGUCGAAAUGAAGUUAUAUGGCUUUAGUAGAAAUAUUAUAAGGAUUUAAGUACAGAUAGGUUAAUAGAGUAUUAAAGGAAAAAAUAAGGUUAGAAUGAGUUAAGAUAAUUAUAGGACAGAAAACAGAGGAAGAUGGAAAGGAAUUGCUGAAAUAAUUAACAGAAGUGGAAUACAAAAAGGGAGGUGUGAGGAGGUCGUGGAAAUAAGUGAAUGAAAGAUGGGAUAAUGAAAUUGUUUGAUUUAUUUUAUUGUCUUUGUCUUGUUUUGUUAAUUUGAUGUGUUGUAUUGUAUUGUUUUUCUUUUUCUUUUUUCUUCUUUUUUUUAGUGUUUUUGGAAAAAUAAUAAAUAUUAUUUUUCUAAAAAAAAGAAGAAGAUUAGGCAAAUUAAUGGAGGAGAAGGCCUCAGUUGGAGGCAGGAAUGCUUCUGAAUAGCCUGGAAACCACAGGAGGAAAGGGGGCUCUUGAGCUCAGGCCUCAUUCGUGGGUUUCCUGCAGGCAUCUGAUUGGCCGCUGUGAGAAGAGGAUGCUGGACUAGAUGGAGCAUUGGCCUGUCCCAGUCGCCUCUUUUCAUGUUCUUUUGCAUAUCUUGGAACUGUCAGUUUGCACAGAGAUUUGUUGCUGCAGCACAGCAAAUCCGUUUUGAGGAAAGAGAGGUGUUUUUGUGAAUUGGAAAGUGGUGGGGGGGAUGCAUUUUUAAAAUUGGGAGAAAUGGAAACACGCUGCGAUCAUAUCAGGUCGAACGCUCCUUUUCGUAUAAGGGUCCCAUAAACAACGCACAAUGAAUGUUCAAUAAAGGCAUGGUGCGGCUUAACCGCUGGGGAAGCUUUGCACAAGUAAAUCAGGAGGAAUCAGGAUAAAUAAACGCUGUCAGUAUUUUGCCAAGGGAUUAAAGAGCAUACCUGAACUUUAGGUUUGCACAACUGAGGUGAGCUAAAGCACUGUUCUUCCUUGGCACAACAAAUCUCCACCUUUAAAAAAAAGGAAGACUUUCUGCACUUGGGAAAUGCGUUGAAAAGAGUGGGAUGAACAAGUGAUGAUCAGAAAGAUGGGUAAGCGGCACACAAGCAAAUCAGAACAAAGGCUCCGUAAUGACCAAACCUCCAGCUAAACUUUGCACAAGCAGAUCAAUAAAUAGGCGUUAUUGCUCCUGUGGAGGGGAGUUCCAUAGGCUAACUCUGUGCUGCAAGAAGAAGUCUAUCCGUCCUGAAUCUUCCAACAACGUUCAGGUUCAUUGGAUGGCCACGAGUUCUCUCAUAAGAGCAGAAGAGUUUUUCUCUCUCCAUGCCAUUCUAGCUCAGCAGCUGCGACUGAAUUGCAGGCAGCCUUUGAAGAAAGCGAGAUCCCCCCCCCAAGCAGCUGUUUGGCACGGAGGGGGCGGAAGGCAGAGGGCCCACCCUGCUGCCAAAGAGCCGGCUGGUGCAAUUCCAGCUGGCUUCAAAGGCCUCCGCGCGCGCAUGGAUCCUGAGCGCGAGGGCGUCACACCUGUGCAUAGGUGUUGCACUCCUGAUAGAGACAAGUGUUUGGAAAUAAGUUGCAGGGAAGAAAUGAUCUCCGGCUGAAUCAAGGAAAGUAUCUUCCAGCAUUAGCUCUGGGCUUGUGGCUGGCUAGGCCACUGCAAGAGCAGUCAUGUUCACUCCCUGAUGGAGAUCCGCCUCACCAACAGGCUGCCCUACAGAUAUUUUUGGGGUCCCAUUCCCAUCCACCCCAUUAUUUUUGCUGGAAGCUCCUGAUGGGCUGAACCAGCCGUUGGGAAGCCAUACCUGGGAAAUCCCACAGAGGGCGCAACUGAUCCAGAUUAGGCUUCCCCACCAAAAAAUAAAAUUAAAAAUCCUGUAUGAGGAUAGAGGGAACUGGUUGAGAAAAAUCUGGGAGACAACACGUGUGACAAAAUUAACACACAAAAGGAAAGCUUUCAGUAAUAACCAACAAGCCAAUUUCAUUGAAAGAUGGGCUUUAUAUAUUCAGUUGUGGAAUGAACAGAUAAUAUUUCUCCUUAUUCCUAUUCCUCUUUCUCCUUUGUGUAGCAAGGGAAUUCCUGUGCAAAGAGGUGAGGUCUCUUUGAUACCUGAAAGGUUCAUUUGUUGGCAAAGUGGAAAGAAUCACCUUUUAUGCUCAGAUUUGACUUAAGAACUAAAAUGGGGGGGGGAGAGACUACAAAUAUUGGCUUCUGGGCAGCAGUCAAGUGUUAAAAAUAUUUAAACGAUGGCAGCAAGGAAGAGUUUGUCUAAAAUGUCAGGGGAACGACUUUCCAAAAUGCUGUUUUGUCCUGCUGUCUUGGGGGCAGGGAGAGAAUCAUCAAAUGGUAGAAUUGGAAGGGACUCUGGCGGUCAUUCUUGCAUUGCAACCCCGUGCAAUGCAAGAAUAUGCAGCUGUCCCAUACGGGAAUCGAACCUGCGACCUUGGCAUUAUUAGCACCACACUCUAACCAGCUGAGCUACAUCCACAUAUAUUUGGGGCUUCACUGGUGGGAACCUCAGGUGUUUAAACAAGAGUCAAUGUGGUGUGUUGUGGUUCGAGUGUGGGACUAGGACCUGAGAGAGCAGGGUUCGAAUCUGCAAGGAAUUCCCACACGGUGCGGUUGAUGCUGCCAGCAUUCAUGUGUCCUUUGCAGACAUCUUUGGAGCACAGAGUUGGUCUCUUAAUAGGCCCGGUGCCAGAAACCAAUUCCCUGUUGAAAUAAAAAAUAUAAGGUCUUAUACAUAUAAUAAAUGUUCAUAACUGCAUAUAUAAACCACAUGUCUGAAACCCCACAGAAAAGGUCCUGAAACCAUUUUGUCCUUCCCACAUUGACCUCAAAUAUUUAUCUGCAAGGUCAAAGGAAAAUGGAAAAGCCUCCCCAUUGUCUUUUUGUUCACAAAUCCUGUCUUAAGGGUAUGUCUGUGUAUGAAUAGGGUGAGCCUGUGACCUGGCUCAGGAACUAAGUAUUUAUCAUUACAAAAGACUGGUCAGGCUCCCCAGGGUAUCCAACCAUUAACAGGUAACCUGCCAGACAGGAGAUAAACCACGACAGGAGAUAAACAACAGGAGAUAAACAACGCACUCAGAUUUCUGUUGUAGACCGCCUCUUCUGUGCUGUAGGUAUGAUGUAUCUGGGGGGUGGUCUUGGACUCCAGGGCGGGCAAUUUAAAAUGUCUAUAUAAGGGCAGGCACACCUUUGUUCUGGGUCCUCCUCUUUUCCUGUGUGUGAGGGGAUCACCCUGUUGCAACAGUUCAAUAAAGAUCAGGCUUACGAGCUGCUUUGCUUCUCAAUAUUCUCUGGUUGGCCUCUGUUAUUUUCUCCAACCGAUGGAGAACCUACAAAGGACUCUAUAAGGGCUCUUGUGUCCCCCAUAAGGGAAUAAGGGCAGAUUUUUGUUUAUUACACCGUAGAUCACAUCCUUGAGGUUCUUCCAUUCUGCGCACAUGACCGAGCCAGUGUGGACGUGGUCGAGACAGGAGAUUAUGCCAGGAUAACCUUCUUGAGAGACCCCAACAGCAAUCUGAUGGGGUCCACAAUUUUCCUGGAUAGACAGACCCUGACUGCCUCAACAGCAAAAACUGGGGUCUUGGGGACCUACAAACAAGUGAGGACUCCAAUCCAGAAGCUUUAGACUACAACUCCCAUCAUCCCUUGCCACUGCCCAUGCUGUUUGCCAGGGCGAAGAAGAGCUGGGAGGAGUCCAACAACAUCUGGAGAUCCACACGUUCCCCAUGCCUGGUCCAGGUUUAGACUAGUUUAGGGCCCCCCCCCCCUUCCCCAGAGAUAAAUCCACUGGGCCACCUCUGGUGUUGACGCUGGUGUGUGUUUAUCAGACAGCACAGGUCUGCUGUUGGUGUUAAUUAGGAUUGUUGUUGCUUUUAACCUCCAGGGCUGGAGCAGAGUCCCUAACUAAUUAUCACCUGCUCGCUUUCAUUAGCAGCAAUUAAAGCGCUUCCAGGCCUCCCAAGGGGCUUGGCGUUAACCCUUCCCCUUCUCCAGCCUAUUGCUCCCAUCAACAAGCGCGUGCAAUGCAAGCCUUGGGACACCAGAGGGCAGCAGAAUCCCACCGCGACCUUGUUCCAGUAGAAUUGUAGGAUUGUAGCAUUGGAAGGGACCCGGGGGUCAUCUAGUCCAACCCCCGGCAAUGCAGGAAUCAUAGAUUUGAAGGGACAUGGAGAUACCCAACUUCAGCCUUUAACAGUCUUCUUGGCCUUUAACAGUUGUGUGUGACAGUCAGGAGUUCAACAGGAGUUAUUUUUCUUUAUCCAGGGAGCCCAGAGUUGAAGAGAGGUUCACCGGUUGAACUACUGCCUGCCACACAGCUCCCAAGGGUCCAGAUUCCAACUGGUGAGGGUUGCCAAGAAAGACUUGAAACCAGUUGAUCGAAUCCUACUCUGUGCAAUGAACAAAUGCAAGAUACGUUGCAGACUGAUGUGGUCUUGGGAGAGAGAUGAAACCCGAACGUUUUAGAAAUGUAUCUUAACAUGGGGAAAAUACUUAGUUUAGCAUACACUGAUCUCAAUUCAAUUAAUUCUUUGUGUUUAAAUCAAAAGGACUGAACUGUGCAAAACUGCUUAUGCACAAAUAUGGCAUAGAAUGAAUUUGACUGUGUAAAAUUUAAAAUAUGUUAACUAAAUAAUCAUAAUAAUCAACUCAGUAAGUACUUAAUUUGUGUCCAGUUCUGGGCACCACAGUUCAAGGAGGACACUGACAAACUGGAACGUGUCCAGAGGAGGGCAACCAAAAUGGUCAAAGGUCUGGAAACGAUGCCUUAUGAGGAACGGCUAAGGGAGCUGGGCAUGUUUAGCCUGGAGAAGAGGAGGUUAAGGGGUGAUCAGCGGCGUAGCGUGGGUUGUCAGCACCCGGGGCAAGGCAAGUAAUUUGCGCCCCCUAACCCGGGGCAAGGCAAGUAAUUUGCGCCCCCUAACCCCUAACCUGCCGCCGCUGCCAGCUUCUUCUUGCUGCUGCCUGGUCUGGUCUGGUGUGGUUCUCUCCCGCGCUCAGCGCUGCGCUGGGCGGCCGCUGCACUGUCCCUCCCCAGAUAGUCCCGCGCUCUCUCUCCGCACCGCACGCCUGGCACCCACCCCUCCACAGUGGGCGGCGACCCAGCGGCUCGGAUCGGAUUCGCACAGCCAGCACUGCAGUGAGAGAGAGUGAGUGAGCCAGGUAGGGGCAGAGAGCUGCGAGUGCGAGCGCGCCCCCCCAGAUGUUGCGCCCGGUGCGGCCGGCCCCCCCUGCACCCCCCACGCUACGCCACUGGGGGUGAUAUGAUAGCCAUGUUCAAAUAUAUAAAAGGAUGUCACAUAGAGGAGGGAGAAAGGUUGUUUUCUGCUGCUCCAGAGAAGCGGACACGGAGCAAUGGAUCCAAACUACAAGAAAGAAGAUUCCACCUAAACAUUAGGAAGAACUUCCUGACAGUAAGAGCUGUUCGACAGUGGAA